rnacentral:rRNA from 1 species
AGCGAACGCUGGCGGCAGGCCUAACACAUGCAAGUCGAACGAACUCUUCGGAGUUAGUGGCGGACGGGUGAGUAACACGUGGGAACGUGCCUUUAGGUUCGGAAUAACUCAGGGAAACUUGUGCUAAUACCGAAUGUGCCCUUCGGGGGAAAGAUUUAUCGCCUUUAGAGCGGCCCGCGUCUGAUUAGCUAGUUGGUGAGGUAAAGGCUCACCAAGGCGACGAUCAGUAGCUGGUCUGAGAGGAUGAUCAGCCACAUUGGGACUGAGACACGGCCCAAACUCCUACGGGAGGCAGCAGUGGGGAAUCUUGCGCAAUGGGCGAAAGCCUGACGCAGCCAUGCCGCGUGAAUGAUGAAGGUCUUAGGAUUGUAAAAUUCUUUCACCGGGGACGAUAAUGACGGUACCCGGAGAAGAAGCCCCGGCUAUCUUCGUG